rnacentral:rRNA from 1 species
UACGUAGGGUGCGAGCGUUAAUCGGAAUUACUGGGCGUAAAGCGUGCGCAGGCGGUUUUUUAAGCCAGGUGUGAAAUCCCCGGGCUUAACCUGGGAAUGGCAUUUGGGACUGCAAGGCUCGAGUGCGGCAGAGGAGACUGGAAUUCCUGGUGUAGCAGUGAAAUGCGUAGAUAUCAGGAGGAACACCGAUGGCGAAGGCAGGUCUCUGGGCUGACACUGACGCUCAUGCACGAAAGCGUGGGGAGCAAACAGG